rnacentral:rRNA from 1 species
GAUCCUGGCUCAGAUUGAACGCUGGCGGCAGGCUUAACACAUGCAAGUCGAGCGGAAACGAUACCAGCUUGCUGGUAGGCGUCGAGCGGCGGACGGGUGAGUAAUACUUAGGAAUCUACCUAGUAGUGGGGGAUAGCUCGGGGAAACUCGAAUUAAUACCGCAUACGACCUACGGGAGAAAGGGGGCAGUUUACUGCUCUCG